rnacentral:lncRNA from 1 species
GCGCUGAGAGCGAGUGAGGGCCACCAGCACGUUGUCACCUCUCAAAACCAUCCCUCUGAAGUCAAGCUGCUUGUCUCUGACAUCAGACCACAGUCUCCAACGUCCAGCUGCUUCUCCUCUUCUCCCCUUCUCUGCUCUCUGCCAGUACGACACAGGUGCUCCCCUUUUGGUCCAGCUUUGGGAAAUUAUCGUGAAUUGGCCUCAGAGUCCUGCCCCCAGACCUUGGUGUUUUCCCUUGAUUCAGCUUUAGGAAGUCGGCAUGAAUUGGGCUUAAGUUCCCUGCCUCCAGACCCUAUUCUCCUGCCUCAGCGGUAAGGAGACUUCUAUGGCGAUGUGCUUCCACCAGAACACAAAAACGGGAGCUGCUGGAGUCUCCUUAAUGCCUGGUCUUGGCUGCCCCCGGAAUGUCACCUCUGCCUCAUUCUACUAUCAAGGUGGUUGCAGGGACAGCCCAGGUUCAAAGGAAGGAGAAGUAGACUCCCCCUCUUUUGACUGGCAAGGGGACAUUGCAAAAAAUCCUGUCGUUUGGGGGGGAUUGUUGUAGUCAUCUUUGGAAACACAAUCUGCAACUUUGAUGUUCAUCAAAGAAAUCUGCUUGAGCUGUGAGCUCAACUGGUAUUCGACUUAAGAAAUCCACAAAAUCGGUUCUGAACUGCAUUUUCAUCUCAGCGUUUGGCCACGGGCAAUGAGAGCUUCAUUCAGAAGAGUCACAAAAUCGUUCUGACUAAGACCAUUUUGUCUAGAUCAGUAAUUUGGGGAUUUGCCUGUCUCAGUGCCAUCAGAAGCAACCACCUAACCCAGAAAUGCUAACAUUCCUCUUCUUUCAGCAGUCACUGACUACCUACAUCCCUCAGCUCCCUCCCCAUCUCACAUCACCCUCAGGGGCCUCUGAGCACAGCAUCACCGAGGGGGCCACAGCAGCAGAACCUCCUACCCAGAUCUCUGUAGGCACUGCCAUCAUGUGACUAAACUCCCCUCUCAACCACAACCUCCAGCUACAGGGCUCUCAUCCAAGUCAAAAAUCCAAAGACAGGCGUCUGGCUGGCUGCAGGAGUCCAGAGCCAUGAGUGUCCCUAAAUUAGUCAACCAUGGCUGGGAGACAGAGCCAUGCAAUCCAGACCCAGCUCUUCUGCUCACUGGGGCCGUUCCCGGAGAAGGAGAAACCACGCUGGAGCGGGCACUCCCACGAGUUGUCGGGGAACAAGAACUCGGAUCCUGGCGGGAGAGAGCGAACAGUACACCCGAGCGGCGGCUGUCACCCGCUUUGAAACACGGGUGCCCUGGAGUCUUAGCUAUGAAUCUUCCAAAACCAGCAGUUCGCAGAGCGGUGGAGGCUGAGGCUGUGGCAGAAUCACCUAGACCUCCUGGAGUAGAGGACACAGGGCAGUGAAGACCUAACCCUGAGCUCUGGAUGGAGUGAGAGACAAAAGCAGGUUGAAAAUUUCUAUUUGAAGUUGGAUCAAAGAAAAAUAUGAAGGGAGAGAUGAUGAUAAAGAAUGAAAACAGGACCCUCCUUCAACCACUGAAAUGGGAACACUGUGCUUUCUCUGAGCAGCAGUUAAAGCCCUGCAGAUGCUCCAGAAGGGGAACCUGCAGAUGCUCCAGAAGGGGAACCUGCAGAUGCUCCAGAAUGGGAACCUGCAGAUGCUUCAGAAGGGGAACCUGCAGUUGCUCCAGAAGGGGAACCUGCAGAUGCUCCAGAAGGGGAACCUGAAGAUGCUUCAGAAGGGGAACCUACAGAUGCUCCAGAAGGGGAAGUCUUUGUUUCCCAGGACUCACUCACAGCUUUGCCCACUGAAUUCUCCAGAAGGGGCAUUUAUGAGCUCUGAGGAAAGCUGAAUCCAGGCAGUUACCCAGACUAUGACUGUCUUAGUGUGCUCAAGCUGCUGUCACAAAACUCCAUGUACUGAGUGGCUCACAGUUCUGGAGGCUGGAAAGUCCAAGAGCAAACAGCAGAUCUGGUGUCUGGUGAGGGCUACUUCCUGGUUUGUGCAUGGUCUUCUCAUUGUAUCCUCACAUGGCAGAGAACAGAGAGAGGAAAAACCCUCACAUUUCUUAUAAGAUCACUCAUCCCAUCACAAGGGCCCCACCCUUAUGACCUAAUGAUCUCCCAAGGCCCCAUCUCCAAAUACCAGCAGCUUUGGAGUCAGGGUUGCAACAUAUGAAAUUUGGGGCACAAAAACAUUCAGUCUAUAGCAAUGACUGAGUCUUUUUCUAACAGUGGCAGUAGUCUUUUUUUUUACACAGCUAAUUUUGUGCUUGUUUUUCAGUUCUUUACACAUUAAUAGCAUAUCGUUUAGAAAUUCAUAUAUAUAUUUAAAGACCUUGAUAUGCCACCCUUUGAGUUACAACUGGGACAGUUGGGAGAGGGGAAAGUGUUCGAGUGGGAUGAAGAGCUAGGAGAGGCUCCAUGGCCGGAGGCCUGGUCCACUUCGUUUUUGUACCGGAAGGGCUCAUCGCCAGUUUAAUUGAGAAGAUAUGUGCAGAUGAGGACUUCUGUCACCAGAAAUUAGUAUGUUGGAGUUAACACUAAAAAGAAAAACAAAGGAACAAGUGAUUCUCCUGAUGGAGGAUGGAAAGGAAAGGUGUCACGGAGUACUUCUAAGAUAAUGGUAAAGAUCUAUCUGAGGCUGGGCAUGGGGGCUCAUACCUGUAAUCUUGGCACUUGGGAAGCCAAGGGGGGCAGGCCAGGAG